CCUACGGGAGGCAGCAGUGAGGAAUAUUGGUCAAUGGACGAGAGUCUGAACCAGCCAAGUAGCGUGAAGGAUGACUGCCCUAUGGGUUGUAAACUUCUUUUAUAUGGGAAUAAAACGUUCCACGUGUGGGAUUUUGUAUGUACCAUAUGAAUAAGGAUCGGCUAACUCCGUGCCAGCAGCCGCGGUAAUACGGAGGAUCCGAGCGUUAUCCGGAUUUAUUGGGUUUAAAGGGAGCGUAGGUGGAUUGUUAAGUCAGUUGUGAAAGUUUGCGGCUCAACCAUAAAAUUGCAGUUGAAAAUGGCAGUCUUGAGUACAGUAGAGGUGGGCGGAAUUCGUGGUGUAGCGGUGAAAUGCUUAGAUAUCACGAAGAACUCCGAUUGCGAAGGCAGUUCACUGGACUGCAACUGACACUGAGGCUCGAAAGUGUGGGUAUCAAACAGGAUUAGAUACCCUAGUAGUC
rnacentral:rRNA from 1 species